rnacentral:rRNA from 1 species
AGUGAACGCUGGCGGUAGGCCUAACACAUGCAAGUCGAACGGCAGCACAGUAAGAGCUUGCUCUUACGGGUGGCGAGUGGCGGACGGGUGAGGAAUACAUCGGAAUCUACUUUUUCGUGGGGGAUAACGUAGGGAAACUUACGCUAAUACCGCAUACGACCUACGGGUGAAAGCAGGGGAUCUUCGGACCUUGCGCGAUUGAAUGAGCCGAUGUCGGAUUAGCUAGUUGGCGGGGUAAAGGCCCACCAAGGCGACGAUCCGUAGCUGGUCUGAGAGGAUGAUCAGCCACGCUGGAACUGAGACACGGUCCAGACUCCUACGGGAGGCAGCAGUGGGGAAUAUUGGACAAUGGGCGCAAGCCUGAUCCAGCCAUACCGCGUGGGUGAAGAAGGCCUUCGGGUUGUAAAGCCCUUUUGUUGGGAAAGAAAAGCAGCAGGUUAAUACCCCGCUGUUCUGGCGGUACCCAAAGAAUAAGCACCGGCUAACUUCGUG